rnacentral:rRNA from 1 species
GACGGAGGAUGCAAGCGUUAUCCGGAAUGAUUGGGCGUAAAGCGUCCGCAGGUGGCAGUUCAAGUCUGCUGUCAAAGACCGGGGCUUAACUUCGGAAAGGCAGUGGAAACUGAACAGCUAGAGUAUGGUAGGGGCAGAGGGAAUUCCUGGUGUAGCGGUGAAAUGCGUAGAGAUCAGGAAGAACACCGGUGGCGAAGGCGGCCUGCUGGGGUGGAGCUGACGCUGAGGCGCGACAGCGUGGGGAGCAAACAGG